AAUAGAUACCCAGGUAGUCCACGCCCUAAACGAUGUCAACUGGUUGUCGGGGAAGUUAUUCCUUGGUAACGAAGCUAACGCGUGAAGUUGACCGCCUGGGGAGUACGGCCGCAAGGUUAAAACUCAAAGGAAUUGACGGGGACCCGCACAAGCGGUGGAUUAUGUGGAUUAAUUCGAUGCAACGCGAAAAACCUUACCUACCCUUGACUUGUCAGGAAUCCCGCAGAGAUGCGGGAGUGCCCGAAAGGGAACCUGAACACAGGUGCUGCAUGGCUGUCGUCAGCUCGUGUCGUGAGAUGUUGGGUUAAGUCCCGCAACGAGCGCAACCCUUGUCAUUAGUUGCCACAUUCAGUUGGGCACUCUAGUGAGACUGCCGGUGACAAACCGGAGGAAGGUGGGGAUGACGUCAAGUCCUCAUGGCCCUUAUGGGUAGGGCUUCACACGUAAUACAAUGGCCGGUACAGAGGGCUGCCAACCCGCAAGGGGGUAGCUAAUCCCAGAAAGCCGGUCGUAGUCCGGAUUGUUCUCUGCAACUCGAGAGCAUG
rnacentral:rRNA from 1 species